AUUUGUCUGGUUAAUUCCGAUAACGAACGAGACCUUAACCUGCUAACUAGAUUCUUUAGUAUUACUUUUGAUAUCUUCUUAGAGGGACUACGUAAAACAAAUACAUGGAAGUUUGAGGCAAUAACAGGUCAGUGAUGCCCUUAUAUGUCCUGGGCUGCACGCGUGCUACACUGAUGCAUACAACAAGUGCCUAACCAGACAUGGUAUGGCAAUCUCGAAUAUGCAUCGUGAUGGGGAUAGAUCUUUGCAAUUAUAGAUCUUUGACCAGGAAUUCUUAGUAAGUGCAAGUCAUCAUCUUGCAUUGAUUAUGUCCCUGCCCUUUGUACACACCGCCCGUCGCUCCUACCGAUACCGGGUGAUCCGGUGAACCUUUUGGACUCUUUACUGGGAAAGAUAAGUAAACCAUAUCACCUAGAGGAAGGAGAAGUCGUAACAAGGUUUCCGUAGGUGAACCUGCRGAAGGAUCA
rnacentral:rRNA from 1 species